rnacentral:lncRNA from 1 species
CUCUUUCAUUCUGUUUUUAUCUAUCUCUUUCUGGUACGAGCUGGCAAGGCAAGCGCAUCGUUUGCAACGAUAAACAAAGGAGAGAACACAACAGCCCGAGGGAUUCCGUGCGCGCCUGACCGGCUGGAAUGGAAAGAGAGAGAGAGAGAGAGAGAGAGAAGAGAGGGUGUUAAUGUGCUAGUGAGAGAAAGGAACGGGGGUGUUAGUGGAAACGGGUCGAGAAGAGCUCAUGGAUAUCCGUGCUUCUUGCUGGUAGUAGUCCUAUUACUUAGCCAAAGAGAGAACGAGAGAGAGAGAGAGAGGGAGAGAAUGAGAAGUGGAGAUGGAAGCAGAGGUAUAACGCGAUUGCGGUGGCGAGACCAACACACACACACACACACACAUACACAAACACACAGCAUGCACAAAGAGAGUAGGAGAGAUAGAGAGUGCGAGGAAGAGGGAAAACGGAGGCACGUCAAUGGGCGAAUAGGAGAGGCCACGUGUGAAUGAAGGAAGGCCUGUGGGAAAGAACGGGUACGAUGGGAAAGACUGGAAAACAAUCGUGUCGAUAAAUCUUAGAAACGUCUUCGAAGAGAUAGUUCAUCGACCUCGGCGUAUAGGGUAGCCCUAGGAAACCGACACGAAGCAUGCCUCGCGAUCCGUUCCAUUCAGUGCCAUCCAGAACGAAAGAGAGAAAGAGAGAGCGAGAGGAAGAGGCAGAGGGAGAGGAAGAGGGAAGCAUUAUCUCCCUACGACCCUGAAAUUCCCACUGUCCUCCUUCCACUUCUCAUCCUCCUCGGCGCAAAGAAAGUGAGAUAGAGAUAGAUAGAUAUAUAGAGUGAAUGAGUGAGUGAGCGAGCGAGCGAGUGAGAAAGUGAGAUAGAAGAGGGGAAAGAGGCAACCCCCUACCGUUUUCCACGUCGCGCCGAUGUGCCCGUUUGCUCUCCUCUACACCCGUACCUACUACCUACUUUAUUGCCUCUAGGCGCCUGGCGCUUCUUUAUGCCGGAGUGCGAAGUGUGAAUGGCUUCUGUGAACCUGACCCGACCGACAAACCACCACCACCAACAUCACCACCGACACAACCACUAACGUCGAGACCCAUUACAUCAGCCUCGACGGAAGCAGCAGCGCAACACGCGGACCUGCCGCGACCAUGUGUACACACAGAUGAACCAACGAGAGAGAGACGGAAAAUGUGUACGCGUGCGACAAAUACAUACCGCAUACACAUAAACAGAGAGAGAGGAGAGAGAGAGGGAGAUACAUGUAAAAGUAUAAACGAACGUGCAAAGCAAAAGCUUUCUCGUGGAUUUGUUUAGUACGUAGUAGAGAGACUCGGUCGAGCUCACAACACAAGUCCCCUCUUCCAAACACGUAAUACAUACUUUACGGACCGCCUACCAGCGGGUAAAAGCCUCCCUCCAUAUAAUGCACCAACGGUUGGGCGCGUGCCAAUUCUUUCGAAGCAUAGCCCAACAACAACAACAAGCGAAAGAGAGAGAGAGAGAGAGACCAACACACAGUUAAAGAAGACGUCCAAUCCACUCUCUCUCUCUCUUCCUCUCUGUAUCAAUGACUAGGCCUCUUUAACACUCAAUUCGUCACGUUCGAUUAACGAUCCCCUAAAUCCUCCGACCGUUUCAUUCUUCUCUUCUUUGGCUUUAGGAUAGGAAUGAAAAUAAAAAAAUGUUCAGCAGGUUUGACUAAACUUGUUCGUCGACCAAUGGUAUCUGUAUAAUUCGUGUGUUUGUUUAACCUGUAUUGGAAAUGCGAGUUAAAAAUAUUUGAUGAUGGUAUUGUGCGGUAACAAAUAUACUCAGCACGUAUUCGAUACGAUCGUGAAAUAUGUGUCCGUGAACACACGGAAUGGGAAAGAAGGAGAAAGAAAAGGGACGCUUGGUAUUUGCGACCGGAAAGAUUUUGUCAAUCUUCCUCUUCUUCCCCCUCCUCCUUCUUCUUCCUCUUCUUCUUUUUAUUCUUCCUGUACUUCCAGCUGUGUGCUUUUAGCCGAGCGCUCAACCGAAUCGCUCCGUGACUGAGAAACCGAGAUUUCAUUGAGGAACAAUAGGUACAUGACACCUGUAAAGGACAACCCACCGGCGGCGCCUAGACCUACAUUACGACAAUAACGUCGCUUACCAACGACGCUUUCAAACGACUCGACUUGCCAACAGAAGCAACAAGGAUACCAAAUAUAUAAUAGUAUUCUAUGUAAGCAUGUAAAUGCGCUACGUUUAUACAUAAGUAUACGUGUAUGUGUAAGUUUCUCGUGCGAUGGAAAA